rnacentral:rRNA from 1 species
AUAACGACUCUCGGCAACGGAUAUCUARGCUCUCGCAUCGAUGAAGAACGCAGCRAAAUGCGAUACUUGGUGUGAAUUGCAGAAUCCCGUGAACCAUCGAGUUUUUGAACGCAAGUUGCGCCCGAAGCCAUUAGGCUGAGGGCACGUCUGCYUGGGUGUCACGC